rnacentral:rRNA from 1 species
UCUGCCCGCUGGCGGCGUGCCUAAUACAUGCAAGUCGAGCGAACGGACGAGAAGCUUGCUUCUCUGAUGUUAGCGGCGGACGGGUGAGUAACACGUGGAUAACCUACCUAUAAGACUGGGAUAAAUUCGGGAAACCGGAGCUAAUACCGGAUAAUAUUUUGAACCGCAUGGUUCAAAAGUGAAAGACGGUCCUGCUGUCACUUAUAGAUGGAUCCGCGCUGCAUUAGCUAGUUGGUAAGGUAACGGCUUACCAAGGCAACGAUGCAUAGCCGACCUGAGAGGGUGAUCGGCCACACUGGAACUGAGACACGGUCCAGACUCCUACGGGAGGCAGCAGUAGGGAAUCUUCCGCAAUGGGCGAAAGCCUGACGGAGCAACGCCGCGUGAGUGAUGAAGGUCUUCGGAUCGUAAAACUCUGUUAUUAGGGAAGAACAUAUGUGUAAGUAACUGUGCACAUCUUGACGGUACCUAAUCAGAAAGCCACGGCUAACUACGUG